UGCAAGUCGAACGAAGUAGCAAUACUUAGUGGCAGACGGGUGAGUAACAUGUAGGUAUCUGCCCUUUGGCCUGGAAUAACACGAGGAAACUUGUGCUAAUACCGGAUAAGUCUUUACGGAGAAAGCUUUAUGCACCAUUGGAUGAGCCUGCACUUGAUUAGUUUGUUGGUGGGGUAAUGGCCUACCAAGACUGUGAUCAAUAGCUGAUUUGAGAGGAUGAUCAGCCACAUUGGGACUGAGACACGGCCCAAACUCCUACGGGAGGCAGCAGUGGGGAAUCUUGCACAAUGGAGGAAACUCUGAUGCAGCGAUGCCGCGUGAGUGAAGAAGGCCCUUGGGUUGUAAAGCUCUUUCGUCGGGGAAGAAAAUGACUGUACCCGAAUAAGAAGGUCCGGCUAACUUCGUGCCAGCAGCCGCGGUAAUACGAAGGGACCUAGCGUAGUUCGGAAUUACUGGGCUUAAAGAGUUCGUAGGUGGUUGAAAAAGUUAGUGGUGAAAUCCCAGAGCUUAACUCUGGAACUGCCAUUAAAACUUUUCAGCUAGAGUAUGAUAGAGGAAAGCAGAAUUUCUAGUGUAGAGGUGAAAUUCGUAGAUAUUAGAAAGAAUACCAAUUGCGAAGGCAGCUUUCUGGAUCAUUACUGACACUGAGGAACGAAAGCAUGGGUAGCGAAGAGGAUUAGAUACCCUCGUAGUCCAUGCCGUAAACGAUGUGUGUUAGACGUUGGAAAUUUAUUUUCAGUGUCGCAGCGAAAGCGAUAAACACACCGCCUGGGGAGUACGACCGCAAGGUUAAAACUCAAAUGAAUUGACGGGGACCCGCACAAGUAGUGGAGCAUGUGGUUUAAUUCGAAGAUACGCGCAGAACCUUACCAACACUUGACAUGUUCGUCGCGACUC
rnacentral:rRNA from 1 species